GACGAACGCUGGCGGCGUGCUUAACACAUGCAAGUCGAACGGAAAGGCCCUGCUUUUGUGGGGUGCUCGAGUGGCGAACGGGUGAGUAACACGUGAGUAACCUGCCCUUGACUUUGGGAUAACUUCAGGAAACUGGGGCUAAUACCGGAUAGGAGCUCCUGCUGCAUGGUGGGGGUUGGAAAGUUUCGGCGGUUGGGGAUGGACUCGCGGCUUAUCAGCUUGUUGGUGGGGUAGUGGCUUACCAAGGCUUUGACGGGUAGCCGGCCUGAGAGGGUGACCGGCCACAUUGGGACUGAGAGACGGACCAGAAUCCUACGGGAGGCAGCAGGGGGGAAUAUUGCACAAUGGGCGGAAGCCUGAUACAGCAACGCCGCGUGCGGGAUGACGGCCUUCGGGUUGUAAACCGCUUUCGCCUGUGACGAAGCGUGAGUGACGGUAAUGGGUAAAGAAGCACCGGCUAACUACGUG
rnacentral:rRNA from 1 species